UACAGAGACUGCAAGCGUUAUUCGGAUUCACUGGGCGUAAAGGGUGCGCAGGCGGCCAGGUGUGUUAGGCGUGAAAGCCCGGGGCUUAACCCCGGAAUUGCACCUAAAACUACUUGGCUAGAGCAUUGGAGAGGGUAGCGGAAUUCACGGUGUAGCAGUGAAAUGCGUAGAUAUCGUGAGGAACACCAGAGGCGAAGGCGGCUACCUGGACAAAUUGCUGACGCUCAGGCACGAAAGCUAGGGGAGCAAACAGG
rnacentral:rRNA from 1 species